rnacentral:lncRNA from 1 species
GGAAAGGUGAUAUAAGAAGCUUUCAUGAUGCUUCGGAUUUUGUUUAUUAUUUUAAAAGAGAUACAAGUUAAGGAUUGGAAUUCCUGGGUGUUGCUCACUUUUUGUUGUUGAAUUACUUUUGGCUAUUUGACGGAACUCCUUUGAAAGUGAUUCCACAUAGCACAGGGUAGCCAAGAAAAGAGUCACAUAUGCAAUUUUAAAUUUUCUAGCAGCCAUUUUUUUAAAGUAAAAAAGAAACAGGUAGCAUUAAUUUAUUUAAAUAUCUUUUAUUUAACAUAACAGAUCCAAAAUGUUAUUUCAAUAUAUCAUCACGACUUUUAAAAGGUAUCAAUGAAUAUUUUACAUUCUCGUUUUCAUAGUAAGCCUUUGAAAUCCAGGAUCAAUUUCAUGCUCACAGCACAUCUCAAUUUGGACUCCACAUUUCAACUGCUGUAUAAAAGCCACGUAUGGCUAGUGGCUGUUAUAUUGAUCAGCAUCAUCACAGAUACAGGGGCUGGGCUAUGUAGUUCUGGGAUUCUGAAGGUGAAAUAAUAAUAAUAGCCAUAAUAAUAACAACAGGCAUUUAUUGAGCCUCUUAGAUAUGCCAAAUGUUAUAUUAAUUCCCUUUCUCAUGCAUCAUUUCAUUUAAUCCUCUUAACAACCUACAUUUUGGGCACUAUUAUCAUCCCAUUCUACAGAUGCAGAAACAGAGCCUCAGAGAGGGUGAGUGCUUUGCCCAAGGUCACACAGCUGGUAAGCAGCAAAGCUAGGACUAGAAAACCAGUCUGUCUGUCACUAACCACUGCCUCAAUAACUUAGGGUCAGUAAAGGAGCCAGCCAGCAGCCAGACUUUCCUCAGUCCCUUCCUCAGAGCCCAUGCACAAGGAGUCACUUUGUUUUCUGAUUAGCCAAGCUGCCAUGUUGCCUAAAAACCAGACUGGAAAGAACAUUCAUUGUACAGCUGAGCAUAUUGUGUGAUUGAGUGAGAAAAGAACAGCAACAAGAUGCUCUGCCUCUCGUCAACUGUAGGAAGCUGCAAAUUCAAGGCCAGUGACCAGGUUCACAAAAUGCAAUUGUUCUCAAUGACACUUAACAAAGAGCCAGGGAGAGAAUCGAUUGUCAUUAAAAGCUGGCCAAGAACAUCGAUCGUCUCCCCAGUGAUGAUCUCAGAAUUUUGACUUAGCCAGGCCAAGAGCGUUGGUGCAGAGACGUUUUGAUGUGAUUUCUCAUGUGGAAAUGGGCUCCAGCAUGGCGAGUCAGCACAAAACAAGCAUGAAGCUAAGGACGGAGCAGCCAGAGCUCUGCCCAUGCCUCUCCUGCUCCACCUCCAUGCCCUGUAGACAGAAAGCAAAGGAGGAGGACUGGCUGGACUGGGAGAUAGUAGAUCCUGUGGGUCCUGUCCCUUCCUCUCUGUUCCUCUUUAUCCAGAUACUUUAGAAGCCUUUGGAACUGUGACAUUUCUGGGCCUCACAUUCAGGGGAAGGAGGAUGAUUCCUUCAGCCUGCUGGCCAUAGAGAACCUGGCCAUGGAUAUGGCCUAGAUAAAACAAGCCAAACCAUCUCCUAUUUAUCCCUGAGACCCCAAGAUGGGCAGUGAGCAAGGCCUCAUGCCCCUAGAGCUCUCCUAGGUGGGAGGGAAUAUCUUGCUGUCAAAUGCUCCUGAAUACAAUUCCAACUCCUGCUCUGUCCUGCAUCUUGCUGUGGUUGGGGAAGAGGGUGCAAUGCUCUCAUUUAUAGUAUGCAGGCUAGGAUCUGAGCAGUAAGUCUUGUUCAUCCAUCUGUCUAUCCAAAAAAUGCUAGCUGAGUGACUGCUGCAGCCAGAUGCUAAGGCAGGUCCUGGGAAUAAACAGAUGUACAGGGCAAAAAGCUUGCCCUUUAGGAGAACAUGACAGACACUGGGAAAUCAAUAGCCACAGAGAAACAUAGCAAGUGCUAGAAUGAAAGCAUGUUAACCACAAGGUACCUUGGUAGCAGGGAGUGGAGAAGUUGAACACAGAGGGAAGACAUGAAGACAUUCCAGAAAGGCAGAGAGGGUGGUCCAUGCGAAGCAACAGAAGGCACUAGGAACAUCCUGGGAACUGCAACUUACCAAGCAGCUGAGGCUCAGAGUGGGCCUGGGAGGGGAUGGGAGAUCAGACUGGAGGGCUGGCUGGGAGCUUAGCCAGAGCACAGGGCACAGCAUAGGACUUUAGGCAGGGGCACAGUGUCAGAUGGGUGAUUGGACGGUCAUCCUGGCUGCAGUGGGUUGUGGGGGAAUGGAUAAAAGAGGGGCAGGACCAGCGUGCUAGCCUGGGGGUUCCUGGUGCCCUCAGUUUCCUUCCUUGGCCUUCCUCUGCUCAGCUAGGCUUAGCUCUGCAUGAGUAUGAGUCCAUUCUCACACUGCUAUAAAGAAAUACCUAAGACUGGGUAAUUUAUAAAGAAAAGAUGUUUAAUUGGCUCAUGGUUCCUCAGGCUGUACAGGGAGCAUGAGGCUGGCAUCUACUGGGCUUCUGGGGAGGCCUCAGGAAACUUACAGCCAUGGUGGAAGGCAAAGGGGGAGCAGGCACUUCACAUGGCUGGAGCAAGAGGAAGAGAGAGAGAGGGGAGGUGCCAAACACUUUUAAACAACCAGAUCUCAUGAGAACUCACUAUUGUGAUGCCUUACUUUUAAUGGCAAAAACCACAAUUACUUUUGCACCAACCUAUACUUGGUGUGAUGGUUAAUUUCCCGUGCAACUUGACUGGGCUAAGAGAUGCCCAGAUAGCUGGUAAAACACUAUUUCUGUGAGACCAUAGCUGGGUGAGAUUAGCAUUUGAAUCAGUAAAUUGAGUAAAGAAGAUCCACACUCACCAAUGUAGGCAGGCGUCAUCCAAUCUGAUGAGAGCAUGAACAGAACAAAAAGGAAGUGCAAAUUUUCCAUCUCUGUUCUUGAGUUGGGACAUCUGUCUUCUCCUGGUUCUCAGGCUUUCAGACUCAGACUGAAUUACACCACCGGCUUUCCUGGGUCUCUGGCUUGCAGACAGCAUAUUAUGGGACUUCUAGGCUUCCAUAAUCGUGUAGGCCAAGUAUCAUAAUAAAUCUCUGCUUGUGUAUCUAGACCUCUAUCUAUCUAUCUAUCUAUCUAUCUAUCUAUCUAUCUAUCUAUCAUCUAUCUAUCUGUCUAUCAUCUAUCUAUUAUUGGUUCUGUUUCUCUGGAGAUCACUGAUAAUAUACUUAGAGUGUCUCCAUUUCCCUGGUGGGGCCUGACUUGUACAAAUGGAGAAAGGGGAAGCAAUUAAUGCAAGUUUUCUAACUGCAAAAAUCCAACAGAGCAAUGAUAUAGGUUUGCACAGAGGUUACUAUCGCAGUGAGGAUGGAACUUGGAGAUGCUUAAGAGGUGGAAUUGAUAGGGUUUGAUGGCAAAAUGUGGGGAGAAAGGGCUAAUUUUUUUGAAAUUUUUGUAGUUAAAGGGUUUUGUCAUAUUGCCCAGGCUGGAGCAAGUUUCUUGUGGAAAAGAGACAGAGAUAUACCGCUUGCUGGCUCUGAAUGAAAGAAAAAUUUGGUGAAAUGGACGUAUCAUUGCCAACUAUCUGUUUAGCUAACUGAGGAUAUGAAAAACAAACACACACCUUAAAUUUAGAACACCUUAAGUAUCCAAGUGGCAGGCACCGUACUGGGGUUCAGCAUAAAAUACCAUCUGAUGCCUGCCCCUAAGCAGAUCACCUCCAUCAGGGGAGCCAACAGGUGGAUUUAAAAUCCUAACAGCCUGUGAUGACAGCCACCAAUAGAGACAGGACUUUGGUGGUCUGGAACUUGGUGAGAGAACGAUAUGACUUGGGCCUUGAAGGACUGACAGAGACUUUUCAGGAGGAGAGAGGUAGGGAGUGCAUAGAGCAUCCCAGGAAGGGGAAAAAAUGUGAAGAGGCCCCGAGCCACAAAAGGCUGAAGAGUUUGGUGACUGGAGUCAUUGAGGAUGCCCGCAGUUCAGGUGGGUCUGAGAAAUGACAGAAUCAGAGGUGAUUUGGAAAGAGAAGUCUCAUGGUCCUGCAGAGGAAUGUGUGGUCAGUGGAGACCAGCACCUGUGGUCAUCAUCUGGGCAAGAGGAAAUGGGACUUGACCAGGAUGGCGGCCAGAGGAGUGGAGGACAAAGGAUGAUCAAAGCUAACAGGUGAGAAGAGGGGAGACUGGCAGGAGAAGAAGACAAAGGCUGGAUUCAUCUUUGCAACCAACAUGCUUAUGUCUAGAAAAGACCAACAACUACUAAAAAGUUUGGGGAAGGAUAUACCAGCUGCCAGUGAGAUGCCCAUUAAUCAACACAGCUGGAUUUUUGGACACGAUCAUGCUUGAAGGAAGACUACAGACUUAUACAUGGAGAAUGAGGAGGUACUUGACAAACUUUUGACUGGAUGGAGACAUGUACAUUGCAUCUUCAGAAAGCCUGGUGCCUGCAUAACUAGUUGAAUGAUGAAUGACUGACAAUGAAAGGUGCUGACUGAGAAGAAAGUUGACCUACAAGGAGGGCUCUAGACCCAUGCCACAUGGCUCCAGCUUUGUCCUUAUACAAAAGACAUUUUCAAAUUUGUGAUUAAAUGAUACCUGGAAGGAAAGCAAAUGUUUUUGAUGACAAAAUCUGAAUCCUCAUACCCCCAGCCCACUGCCAAUCUGAACUGGCUUAAGACAGUGGACCAAAUCCAAGGAGAUUUGACAGAGAUAAUGUAGUCCCUCGCCGUGACUCAAAAUGGGUAUCUGGAGAAGAACAUCAAUAGACAGGACUUACUUGUUUUAGCUAAUAGCAACUUCAAUGUGAAUCAGUGGUUUGGUUAUAUUAAUGGAAAUAGAGGAUCUAGAAUGAGGUGGGGAGAGUUUCUCAUCAUUGAACUGUACCUGGAAUUCUGUUGUCAGUUCUCAGUUCUGAUCACAAAUGGGAACAUGUUCAGAAGAAAGCAAAUAGGAGGCAGAAGUUGGAAUGUUUAUUCUGAAAAAGACUUAGAAAUUAUUGUUGUUUUCAACAAUAUUAUUGUUGCCAUGUGCAAGAUGAUUUAAGUUUACAUGUUUGUGGCCUUUUAGGAUAGUCUAAGCACCUUCAGGUAAGUCUUAGGGAGCAGGAUUUUGUCUUAAUAUAGGAACAAUUAGAAGUGUCUGAAUACGGUAAAAACCUCUGGAGGCAGGUGAUGUUUGGGCAUCUUGACACCAUUUAAUGGUGAACUGGGGACAUUGUAGCAAGGAGUCUAUAAAUAUGAAUUCUCUCUUUUAAACUCUUAGAGAGUCACUUACAGAUGAUUCCACCAAGAUAAAUAAUAAACAGUCAGCAAACAUAUGAAAAGUAAUGUAACUUUGCUAGAAAUUAAAUUUAAAUUAAAAUGGCAACAAAGUACUAUUUUUGUCUGUUAGCAAAAAUUAAAGAGUAAAAUCAUAUCCAAUACUGGUGAGAGUGUCAUGAAACUGGGGUUUGCAUUCAUUGCUGUUGGCAUUGGUGCCUCUUAGAAAGUCUGCGUAUAAAUAGCUACCUCAUUGAUAACACUUUUGUUUCAAUAGUCCAAUAGGCAAUCUAACUGAAAGACAAGUGGAAAGAAUGUAAAUUGCCACAUACCUGAAGAUGUUCAUUGCAGUAUUACUUAUAAUGGAGAAAUUGAAAGCAAUAUAAACAUUGAAGAGUAAGGUAACAGUUGAAGAUGGCAGGACACCCAUUCAACAGGAUGUUAUGUAUUACUUCAAAAGAUAAUCAUUUUUCACUAUAGCUAUAUGGAAAAUGCAUAGGAUAUGGUAAGUGUGUACGUGUGGUGAAUUGCCAGCUAUGAAAUCCUACAGAUCUGAUGAUUAUAAUUACAUACCAAAUAAAUGGAUACAAUAGAAAAGACAGAAAAUUUCUUCUCUUUAAGUCCAGCUCCACGACUAGCUAGGCGUGUUAUCCUGGGCAAAAAUUUUCCUGUGUCUCAGCUGCCUGGUCCAUAAAAUGGGGAGUUUGGACCAAUGGUCUCUAAUAUUCCUUCCUGUUUUAUAAUGUGAAUAGACUGGACUCAUUUAAUGAAGAAACCGUAUCCUGGGGGGAGCUAGAAAUCAGCCACUAUCUUGGUUUCAGACUUUCCCCACCAGACAUAAUAUGUACUUCGUCCAUAUUAUAUCUUUUUAGAAGUCAGUUUGAAAUGUGUACCAGGUGAGAAAAAGUAGAAUUCCUGACUCUCUCAAGUAAGCUGCCGUAUUUGAAGGAGAUUUAGCCAUAGAUACUCCAAAUUACUUUAUUAUGGAGUAACAUAAAACGAUUCUCACAAAAGUUACUGAGUCCAAAAAUGCCCAAGAAUGAUUUCAAAUUACGGUAUGACUGCUAUGAGCAUUAUUUAGACACACUGCUCUAGAAAGGUCUGUUCACACAAAACAAAGGAGCAAUUUUUUAAAAGACUUGAGUACAAGGGAAUAAACAUAUUAUUUAAUAUUAUUAAAUGCUUAUUCCCUUGUACUUGAGUCUUUUAAAAAAUUGUCCACACCCAGCCCACAAACCCUGGUUUUGUAUUCCUAUCAAUGAAAAAAAAAAGGUCAAAAUACACUUCUGCUGGCAUAUGUAGGGCCAUUUGGUUUGGUGAUCUGGAAUUAGGGUAACCAGAACAUGAGCUUUUAGCUCAUAAAAACCUCCUAGUCAUAUCAGACUCCCGAAAAUGCCCUCAUCUGUUCAUAACUUUCUAGAAGGAUGGUGACUUCUUGGUUCAUACUUUCAUCAGGCAGUGCAGUCAAAAGGUAAGGAGAAAACUGUUUAGGGUCUGCAGUGCCCCUCACUGGCACCCAUCCAGACUCAGCUUCAAACCCAGAAGAGCCUUCAUGGUCCCUGACACCAUGGGGAGAAGUUCCCUUCUCUAAGAACCCAUAGGAAUUUGAAGACAGUGUUACCUGAUCAGAAUUUUGCAGGUGUGAUCAUUUAGACAGGGCUCCCUCAGGCAUGCUGAUCAUCCACGUGGGGUCUCUCCUCCAGUCUCGAGAGUCACUUAUUGAAAAUGGUUGUUGUAGGUGCUGUUUUAAGGUGGCCCCACCUUAUAUUUGGCCUCAAGCACUACCCAAUUUAGAUGAUUACUUGAUUCAUCAGAUUCAGCUCCCAAUGACUUUAGCUCUUCCUCCCAAUCAAGUCUCCUCAAAUAUUGAUUUGUACCCUGGAGGACACAUCACAGCUUUGAAAGUGAUUCAACAGUGGGAUCAGAUAUGGCAGCAAUAAGGGCCAAACCCACAGGAUCCAGAGGUGACCACCUUGAGAUGGGUAACGGGGAGGAAUUUAUCCCCGUAAGCUUACCAGGACAGAUGGGCCUAUGACCUCAGAAUGAUACCAUAACUGCAGGAGGACAGGAGACGCAGCCCAAGCAUCUUGGAGAACAAAGACACCAGUGGAUGUGGGGGCCCAGCAGAAGGGUAGUGUCCAAGGCCAACUCUACACUACGGUUACUGUUGGUGGCAAGACCUGCAGACAGGACAUGCUGAAAACAAAACCAUCACAAAAGGAACCAGAGAGAUGCACGAGAACAUCCUCUUUCUACUCCUCCAGCACGGUGAGUGGUGCCCUGUGAUCCCUUCCUUGUUCCCACUCCCCUCUCUCCCAUCAGCUCCUUGUUGGCUCCUGGGGGAUGUGUGUGCGAGGGUCUGGGGUGGGCACUUGAGUGAUGACGUAAUAAACCCUGGCAGAUGAAGGUCUUAGGGCUAGGAAUGUCAUUACAAGAAACCCUCAGGAUCUGGGAUAGGCUGGCAGGCUCCAGUACUAAAGUACAAUUGCAGUUUAUUGUUUGACAACUUCCAAAUGAAAGGGAAGCUCUGUCUAAACCACAAGUCUUAAGGCUCAUGAUGGGAGGCUGGCCAGCCACCAGCUACACCAAAGCUGGAAUUCUCUUGAGAUCCCGGGUAAGCCCAGCUUCCGAAUGUGCAUUUGUGUUUGCAGAGCAGUGUGUGAUGCCCACCCAAGCCUACGCACGUGUGAGGAUGGGCACAAUAAAUGCAGCUGAGAACCCCGAAACCAGACUGCAAAAACUGCACACACGCCUGACCGCAGGUAAGGAACAGAAAUGACGUUGUGGACCAGCAUCUGCACAGGGAGGCGCAGCACACAUAACACUACGUGGUGUUUUUCUUCAAUUGAU